GGCUGUGAAGCUCAGUUCCUUCCUGUGGAGGCUGGGGAGAACCUGCUGCUGUGCUGACUGUGUUCUGCUGGACACGGUGUCCAUGACGAGUGGACAAAAUUUGAAUAAUCCUACCUUCUCCUGAAGUACUGGGUGUUGCUCAGAGGUUUGGACUAACUUUCAGAAGGGAUAGAGAGUUUGACUGAGGAUUAUUGCCUGUACUUUGUGGAUCUUGUUUAAGAAGCUUUGCCUACUGUGAUGUCUCCACGAAAUUCUCUUGUGUUUUGUACCAGUAGUUUUAUAGUUUGAGGUUUUAUGUUUCGAUGUUUGAUCCAUUUUGAAUUGAUAUUUGUUAAUGAU